CCUGAUUCAGCAAUAUUGACUGAAGAUGAAAUGUGAAAUCAGCAAUUUCUGAUCAAACAUAGAGGUAGAGAAUCUAGCCCUAUAAAAUGAGUGAUGGACACUAAAAAAAAAAUGGACAAAGAGAACAAAUAACUGCUAUUCAUGGAUUUU